CGCGGUAUUUUGACCGUGCGAAGGUAGCAUAAUCAUUAGUCUUUUAAUUGGAGGCUUGUAUGAAGGGUUGGACGAGAAAUUAGCUGUCUUUGUAGGAAAAAUAAAAUUUAACUUUUAAGUGAGAGGGCUUAAAUGUUCUAAAGGGACGAUAAGACCCUAUAAAGUUUGACAUUUUAUUUUUUGAUGAGUAAGUUAGAAUAAUUAAAGUUUAUUAGAUAUUAAAUGUUUUGUUGGGGCGACAAGAAUAUAAAUAAUUUAACUGUUUUUAUGUAAUUACAAAGAUAAUUGAAUUUAUGGUCCUUAUUAAAGAGCGAAGAGUAAAUUACUUUAGGGAUAACAGCGUAAUUUUUUUUGAGAGUUCAUAUCGACAAAAAAGUUUGCGACCUCGAUGUUGAAUUAAAGGUUCUUUAUAAUGUAGCAGUUAUGAAAGAGGGUCUGUUCGACCUUUAA
rnacentral:rRNA from 1 species